UACGUAGGGUGCAAGCGUUAAUCGGAAUUACUGGGCGUAAAGUGUGCGCAGGCGGUUCUAUAAGACAGAUGUGAAAUCCCCGGGCUCAACCUGGGAACUGCAUUUGUGACUGUAGAGCUGGAGUGCGGCAGAGGGGGAUGGAAUUCCGCGUGUAGCAGUGAAAUGCGUAGAUAUGCGGAGGAACACCGAUGGCGAAGGCAAUCCCCUGGGCCUGCACUGACGCUCAUGCACGAAAGCGUGGGGAGCAAACAGG
rnacentral:rRNA from 1 species